GCAGCAGCCGCGGUAAUACAGAGGGUGCGAGCGUUAAUCGGAUUUACUGGGCGUAAAGCGUGCGUAGGCGGCUUCUUAAGUCGGAUGUGAAAUCCCUGAGCUUAACUUAGGAAUUGCAUUCGAUACUGGGAAGCUAGAGUAUGGGAGAGGAUGGUAGAAUUCCAGGUGUAGCGGUGAAAUGCGUAGAGAUCUGGAGGAAUACCGAUGGCGAAGGCAGCCAUCUGGCCUAAUACUGACGCUGAGGUACGAAAGCAUGGGGAGCAAACAGGAUUAGAUACCCCUGUAGUCCCUGUCUCUUAUAA
rnacentral:rRNA from 1 species